UACAGAGGGUGCGAGCGUUGUCCGGAAUCACUGGGCGUAAAGGGCGCGUAGGUGGCUUGAUAAGUAGGGGGUGAAAUCUCGAGGCUCAACUUCGAGGCUGCCUCCUAAACUGUCAGGCUUGAGCAGAGUAGAGGCAGGUGGAAUUCCUGGUGUAGCGGUGAAAUGCGCAGAUAUCAGGAGGAACACCGGUGGCGAAGGCGGGUCUCUGGGCAGUAACUGACGUGAGGAGCGAAAGCGUGGGGAGCGAACAGG
rnacentral:rRNA from 1 species